GACGAACGCUGGCGGCGUGCUUAACACAUGCAAGUCGAACGGAAAGGCCCUGCUUUUGCCGGGUGUUCGAGUGGGGCACGGGUGUGAUACAUAGGAGUAUCCCGCCCUUUGCUUUGUGAUAUCUUCAGGAAACCGCGGCUAACACCGGAUAUGAGAUCCUGCAGCUGGGGGGGGUUUGGAAAGUUUGGGCGGUUGGGGAUGGAUGCGGGGCUUAUCAGCUUGUUGGUGGGGGAGUUGCUAACCAAGGCAUUGACGGGUAGCCGGCCUGAGAGGUGGACCGGCGACAAUGGGACUGAGAGAGGGCCCAGACGCCUACGGGAGGCAGCAGUGGGGAAUAUUGCACAAUGGGCGGAAGCCUGAGGCAGCGACGCCGCGUGCGGGAUGACGGCCUUCGGGUUGUAAACCGCUUUCAGCUGGGACGAAGCGAGAGUGACGGUAAUGGGAGAAGAAGCACCGGCUAACUACGUG
rnacentral:rRNA from 1 species